GUGUUGUAUCAAAGAAGAGAAGGUUAGCACUCCCUUUACAAGGCUGGAAGAGGUUUAGGCCUGCACAUGCAUAUGGUUAAGGCACUGCCACCUACUUUGUAACAUCUAACAGAUUUUUUGA